rnacentral:lncRNA from 1 species
UAAUUUGAGGGUUGAUUAGCUUAAUUAGGAAUUUCUGGUAAGUAACUGAAACAGGAAUUGUAAAUUAAUUAAAUUAAUUGCUUCUUCUCUGUUAAACCUUCCUUCUGUUUUUUUUUUUUUACUUCAAUAAAAUUAUAGUUUGCUUAUGUUGAUAAUGGUCAUGUUUUUCUUAUUUUGUUAACUUAUUUUUAAGGUAAUUUUUAAUUUGAUUUUCUCUAUGUAGGAUUAAUGGACAAUUUUGGUUAUUUAUUAUGUUUGG